CAGCCGCCACGGUAAUACGGAGGAUCCAAGCGUUAUCCGGAAUCAUUGGGUUUAAAGGGUCCGUAGGCGGUCUUUAAGUCAGUGGUGAAAGCCCAUCGCUCAACGGUGGAACUGCCAUUGAUACUGCAGGACUUGAAUUAUUGGGAAGUAACUAGAAUAUGUAGUGUAGCGGUGAAAUGCUUAGAGAUUACAUGGAAUACCAAUUGCGAAGGCAGGUUACUACCAAUUGAUUGACGCUGAUGGACGAAAGCGUGGGUAGCGAACAGGAUUAGAUACCCGCGUAGUCCCUGUCUCUUAUACA
rnacentral:rRNA from 1 species